UGGGGAAUUUUGGACAAUGGGCGAAAGCCUGAUCCAGCAAUGCCGCGUGUGUGAAGAAGGCCUUCGGGUUGUAAACACUUUUGUCCGGAAAGAAAUCCUUGGCUCUAAUACAGUCGGGGGAUGACGGUACCGGAAGAAUAAGCACCGGCUAACUACGUGCCAGCAGCCGCGGUAAUACGUAGGGUGCAAGCGUUAAUCGGAAUUACUGGGCGUAAAGCGUGCGCAGGCGGUUUGCUAAGACCGAUGUGAAAUCCCCGGGCUCAACCUGGGAACUGCAUUGGUGACUGGCAGGCUAGAGUAUGGCAGAGGGGGGUAGAAUUCCACGUGUAGCAGUGAAAUGCGUAGAGAUGUGGAGGAAUACCGAUGGCGAAGGCAGCCCCCUGGGCCAAUACUGACGCUCAUGCACGAAAGCGUGGGGAGCAAACAGGAUUAGAUACCCUGGUAGUCCACGCCCUAAACGAUGUCAACUAGUUGUUGGGGAUUCAUUCCUUAGUAACGUAGCUAACGCGUGAAGUUGACCGCCUGGGGAGUACGGUCGCAAGAUUAAAACUUAAAUGAAUUGACGGGGUCAUAGCUGUUUCCU
rnacentral:rRNA from 1 species